UUGAAAAACCGUUUACGGUUUCCAAAGGGGAGACAUGUAUGACCGUUGUUACGUUUUGUUUAUUGGAAUUAGAGAAACCAUGCCAUCAACGAUACGAUUCAUAAGAAAUGUCGCAAAAUGAAAUUGGAACAGAAACAUCCAACUCGAAUAUUGCCAUCAACCGUCAAUUUGAAUCCUCUCGCAAAUGCGAAUAAUCAACCGCAAAGCGACGCGUAAAACAACGCACCGCUGUGAACAAGAAAAACGCGACGAUAGCACUGGUCUCAACUGUCAAAUGCACUUCCUCACAAAUUUGCAUAUCGCUCAGCGGAACGGACGAAUUUGGUGUGAGGCACGCUACGCUUAUCACACUUAUUGGUUCCUUAUUUAACACGAAGAGCACUCCGAUAUCACGAACUGCCAAGGAAUUAAUCGGACGGAAUAACAGUGAGUAAUUCUAUAUUUGGAAGCCACUGCGAGGGAAAUUGUCGGUACUGACAAAGAUCCGGAGUGAGCAAGGUGGUCAUAACUCACGGAGUAAAAUAAACCACAACGAAGACCAUUCGACAUCAUCACGCGUUAGAGUGAAAAUGUGAAUCAGAAAUCACACAAUUGCGGAAGGCGAGGUUGACGUCACGAGAUCAGUCGCUAGGAAAAAAUUCACGUGUCGCACUCCCGCACGGAUUGCAGUGACAGACAAAUACGAAGGGGAUCACACAGUGAGUAGGACAUCCUGUGUAAAAGAAGAAUUCCACUGAGCGAAGGCACCCCGACAGGGCCCCCUAAUUUUUCAGAUUGCAAAUCAGCACAUCAUCGCAUUGUCUAGCGUCGUGUGACGUCAUCAUUCACCGUAUUGCAAGAGUAUCGAAAGCGAUCUUAAGUCAGUUGCUGACAUUGUGGAGCGAGAAAAGUCACACCGUGCAAUGGUGCGGAUCUGGUCCAGCGGAUGGCAUGAGUAAGCGAAGAGCUGGUUAGUUUUGCAUGCUGGCAUUUAGGAAGGUGAGCGGCAGUGAGGCGGAGGUUGGAUCAUAGGCUGGCGUAUAUGAAUAGAGUCGGGAUGGCGAUGGCAUGAGUAAGUGAAGAGCGGGAGAGAAAUGCAUGCAGGAACAUAAGGUUAGUGAACGGUACCGAGGAGGAUGUUAGAGGCUAAGGAAUAAAUAGUAAUGAAAGUAAAUGAAAAUGCAUGUUAGAAUUAGGUAAUAGUAAGAGGAGGAAGAAAUAAGUUGAGGGAGAAAAUUAGGAGAGAGAAGGAGAAGAUGGAAUGUCGGGGGAUAGCAUGUAGGAUUGAAUACAUUAUCAUGUGACAGUA